rnacentral:rRNA from 1 species
GACGAACGCUGGCGGCGUGCUUAACACAUGCAAGUCGAACGGAAAGGCCCUGCUUUUGUGGGGUGCUCGAGUGGCGAACGGGUGAGUAACACGUGAGUAACCUGCCCUUGACUUUGGGAUAACUUCAGGAAACUGGGGCUAAUACCGGAUAGGAGCUCCUGCUGCAGGGUGGGGGUGGGAAAGUUUCGGCGGUUGGGGAUGGACUCGCGGCUUAUCAGCUUGUUGGUGGGGUAGUGGCUUACCAAGGCUUUGACGGGUAGCCGGCCUGAGAGGGUGACCGGCCACAUUGGGACUGAGAUACGGGCCAGACUCCUACGGGAGGCAGCAGUGGGGAAUAUUGCACAAUGGGCGGAAGCCUGAUGCAGCCACGCCGCGUGCGGGAUGACGGCCUUCGGGUUGUAAUCCGCUUUCGCCUGUGACGAAGCGUGAGUGACGGUAAUGGGUAAAGAAGCACCGGCUAACUACGUG